CGUCACUUGUCAUCCGCAACAACUUAGCAUACCAUUUAGUCUUCAGUAAAUAUUGCUCGUGACUGAUCAGUAUGGAAGAGUCUGGGGGUUUUUCUUAAUUUGAAUUUGAGAUCUUAGUCCAGUCAAACAAGCGUCAAUAUUUCCGUCACCAGGAUCAUACUGGAGUAACCCCAGUGCAAACCUGUAUUCCAACAUUGCCGCUAGUACACAUUCCAUAGGUCACCACGCGGGGCCACAUCUUGGAGCACCCCCUCUUGGAUCUUAUACGCACUAUGCAUGACCUUCCACUAGCCCAACCUCGGGUUCGGAUUGGACCAGAAAACUGACCAUGUAGAGAAUGGUGGGUACAUCUACUGCGAACAGUAUUUAGAUUUAUUAUAAUUAGUAUGAAGAAAUGAGAGAAGUUCUCCCUUCUCAUCGUUUCACUAUUACAGCAUUUCAAAUUUUGUUCGCCCUUUGUUGAUUGGUUUCUCAUGACACAUGUAGUUUGAAUUCCAUGAGACUCUCACUUUUUGUUUGAUGCUAGAAAGCAGUAUCAGUUUGCCCAAAGCAUUAAGAUAAUUUGAAUCCUUGUUAACCAACCAAUUUACAAAAGUGAAUUCAUCACGAUAACUGUUUGAAAAAACAAAGAGUAUUAACUCUAUUUUUGUUAUUCUCUUUUUUUAGUUUCUUGUUUCCAGUAUUAAAAUCUAAGUACUAUAAAGAAAUUUAUAUUUAUUUUACAUUCCAGAACAUGAAAUUCAUCGUUAUUUGCUUUGUUAUCCAUUUCUAUUUUCAGUUGUAAUAACAUUUGUUAAAAGGAUCAAUACGUAGAUAUUACCUAAACCGUAGAAGACUGUGGAUAGAACACUCAAUUUUUUUUGCUCAUUGCCAUUAUCACUUUCAUCUCUAUGUCAAUCAGAUAAAUAUAUUUUUAUGUAAAAUUGCUAGUGUAGUACAUACUUCGUGGUGACCAUAAAUGAAAAUAUCUUUAAAAGUCAACAAAUGAAUAUCUGAUUGAAGUUAGGUUUGGCGAUAUCUAAAAGUAAAAAUGAAAUUUCACACUGUUGCCAUUUCGAAACUCCUGGAGAUAGGACGUUCAAUGUAAUAAAAAAUCGUACAUCUUCGAAGUUCGGCAUUUCAACUCAUGUUGUCAGUAUCGAAAAUAUUUUUUUAAUUCGUAAAUUUUAAUAUUUUCAUCAGUUAAUGAGUAAGGUUGUUAUUUUCACUAACUUUACUAUAUUUUUAUUAUUAUUCUCAGCCACAAUUUCUACUCCCAAUGUCUGUAUCAUACUGAAAAAUAUAUUCCUUUUAAAGCAUUGAUAUAUCGAAAAUAUAUCAAAUUCGUAUAUAAUUAACAUAAACUGAAGUAGAGUAAAUCCACUUAAACAAAUGAUGGCUAGUUUCAAGUAGUUCUACGCUGGCUAAAUAGUAAAUCUGCUGUUUUUUUUACAAAAAUAAAUUUUAGUUUACGAGAGAGAAAUUUCCAAAAUGUUAUUUGUAUUUUAAUUCAAGAUAACACCUACCUUGUUGAAGGUUGAACCAUGCGGGAUGAAAAUAUUUCUUGAAACUGUUCCUCAAAAUGCUGUUUUUCAAAGUUUCUUUGUUGUUUUCUGAAGAGAAGCUACAUAUGGGUAGUUUUGAAAUUGAUAACCCUAAUACGGUAACAGUUAGUGAAAAGGCAAUAGUGUGACAUAAAAUUUUACAUGACUGGUCAACAAUAUACUAGAUUAUAUUGUAAUCUCAUGUUUGAUAGUGAUCAUUGCUUUUAUUUUGUGUGCUCUACUGAAACCUUUCUCAUUAAAUUUGAUGACAUUUCACUUUAUUUUUACACGAAAUAUGAAUUAUGGUAACAAGUGAAUCUUCUUCAAAGUAUUUCAUCACCAAUGUGACAUUUUACGUUUCUAGUCAGAACUCAAAGAUGUUAUUGUUAUAGUUUUUAAUAAAUAAUAUAAUGUAGUGGUAUAACCAGUGCAAUGUUUGUAUGUAUAUAUAGGUACGGUUAGUUUAAUUUGAAAUGUGUAAAGAGACACACAACCGCAUUUGCGGUAGUCUGUGAUAACAUUUUACGUGUUUUGAAUAUUAUCGAGUGUUUCCGAAUUCAUAUUGCAUUCCCAUAAGAAAGAUUGGUUGAUUCAACAAAAUAGUGUAAAAAAUGUAUCGCGUUGAAUAACCAAAUUUUGUUAAAACUUCAGCAUUCAUCAUGUGGAUCAAAAUUAGCCAAUAAUGAAUUUUCGAACAUUCGAUAUUUCUGUAAAGAUAUAUUUAUAUGGUAUUGUGAAUUCAUUUGUGAACUGACCGAAUCAUACGCGAAAGUGAACAGUUAUAUUGUCACGGUGCAAAUGAAUACAAGACAUAAUUUAAUUUAUUAAGGAAUUCAUCCAGUUCCACGCAUGUAUAUAAAAUGUAUAUUGUAAUAUUACAAAGAGUAUAUGUUGUAAUAAAGCUUGAUAGGGAGACCUCAGAAAAAAAACAAAAAAUAAGUAGGAACUUUGAUGUUCGUCAAAAUAUCAUAAAUAACAUAAGACUAGUCAUAUAUAUUAAUGUCAAGAAGCCAUUUUGUUAAGAGGCCACGAAAUGGCUAACAUAAUUUAAGGAUGUAUAAAUGUUAUGUAUUUAUUAUACAAAAUAUAAUCCAAAACCAA
rnacentral:lncRNA from 1 species